AGACAAACUUGCUGAUGUCGGAGAAUUGGUUAACGUGUCGCAGGGUCCCCAAAUCACUACAACUUGUCACAAAACAACACCAGGUAUACAAACGUGUGAGGAGGCAGAACAUUCCGGGGUCUACUGUAUCACUCCAGUACAGGGAAACAGUUUCAAUGUUUACUGUGAUGUGGAUAGUGAAGGAGGCCCUUGGACAGUCAUACAAAACCGACAAAGCGAGGAGGUGUACUUCUACAGGAACUGGGACCAGUAUAAAACUGGAUUUGGUGACCUUUCUGGUAAUUACUGGUUAGGGAACGACAAUAUAUUUACACUGACUCAGGCACCAUGCAUACUCCGGAUAGAAGUGGAAUCAUUAAAUGACACAUUUGGUUACGUCGAAUACUCGAGUUUCCAGAUUUCCAGCGAGGUAGAAGGCUACGCAUUGUCUGUGUCGGGAUUUACUGGAAAUAUUAGUAAGGCAUUUACAUAACCU